UACGGGGGGGGCAAGCGUUGUUCGGAAUUACUGGGCGUAAAGGGCUCGUAGGCGGCCAACUAAGUCGGAUGUGAAAUCCCCAGGCUUAACCUGGGAACUGCAUCCGAUACUGGAUGGCUUGAAUCCGGGAGAGGGAUGCAGAAUUCCAGGUGUAGCGGUGAAAUGCGUAGAUAUCUGGAGGAAUACCGGUGGCGAAGGCGGGUUGCUGGGCUGACACUGACGCUGAGGCGCGAAAGCUAGGGGAGCGAACGGG
rnacentral:rRNA from 1 species